rfam:Xiphophorus maculatus strain JP 163 A Contig286.5, whole genome shotgun sequence.
UCCUCAUUAGUGCAGUGGUGAGUAUCCCCGCCUAUCACGCGGGAGACCGGGGUUCGAUUCCCCGAUGGGGAG